UAUAAAUAGAUGCAUAACACCUUAACGACUGCACUUUAGAGACGCGGCUUACAGGCAGCGGACGUAAGCAUAAUCUGAGUCUGAAACAUAUUACAUUCUUGACUUGAUCUUGCUUAUACUUAUAAGCAGAUAAAAGAAAAUGGUUGUCAAGGUGCAUGUCGUCUAUUGCGGAGCCUGAGGUUACAGGUCCAAGUAUGAAGCGUUUCGAGAGGAACUGCUUGAUACCUUCAAACCUGGACAGAUUGAAGUAACAGGGGAAGGCACUCCUACAGCCACUAGCUGGUUUGAAGUGACUGUCAAUGGCAAGCUAAUUCAUUCCAAAAAGAAUGGUGAUGGCUAUGUUGACCGUCGUGAAAAAAUGCAAAAGAUAAUCAAUGCCAUAGAGGCAGCCUUGAAGUAAUAAGGCAUUCUGCCUGGUGCUAAGUAGCGCAGUGUCUCAGCUUGAAUCAUUUGAACAAGAUCAGAGAAAGUUGCUUUACGAUGACUGAUUUUGAUUAAAGCAAGAUUGCAAAGGUCAAGGUCAUGAUGGUACUAAAAGUGUUUUCUCUGAUUUAGAUUGACUGAUUGAGUAUGAUUGAUGCUGCACUGCUUUUUAUUUUUUAUAUCCAUAUAUUUUUUUUUUGUCAUGUACACACUCAGGUCAUUUAGUUUUACCAGUGUUUUCAAUAUUUUUAGACAUACUUUAUGCUCUUCUGCUCACUAAUUUAUACACAGCUUGGUUUUUAUGGGUUUUAUUUUGUAAGGUUUUUGGUGCAAUUGUUUUCAAGUUAUUCAAUUUGUCUCAAUUUUUUUAUGUAUGAAACAAUAUGUCAGCACUGUUAGCUUCAUGUUAUAACAUUAGUUAUCUGCUUUUGUCAAGUAAUGUUACUUGUCUCCUCAAGAGCUAUUGAUAGUUACUUUGCUUAGAUGCUUGAAGUAUAGGUCAAACAAGUAAGUCACUAAAAUGUCAGAAAAAAAGUUUUUUUAUUUUUUAAAUAUUAAAGUUAAAGUUUUGCUUGGCAACGUUGAUUUUGUAACAUUAUUAAACAAAUAAAAUUGUAAGGUUAUUUAAUGUGCUGUUCAUACUUUUAAUCAUGUGACCUCUCCUAUACACUCCCAGUUUAUUUAAGGGUGUAGUUUUUCCUUCUUGCCAAUUAAGUUGUACACACUUCCUGUCUGGCUUAGUUUGAAUACAUGGUAGUUAACAAUU
rnacentral:sRNA from 1 species